CUACGGGUUGCUGCAGUGAGGAAUAUUGCACAAUGGGGGGAACCCUGAUGCAGCAACGCCGCGUGGAGGAUGACACAUUUCGGUGUGUAAACUCCUUUUAUAUGUCAAGAAAAUGACGGUAGCAUAUGAAUAAGCACCGGCUAACUCCGUGCCAGCAGCCGCGGUAAUACGGAGGGUGCAAGCGUUACUCGGAAUCACUGGGCGUAAAGGACGCGUAGGCGGGUUGGAAAGUCAGGUGUGAAAUCCUACAGCUUAACUGUAGAACUGCACUUGAAACUUCUAAUCUAGGGUAUGGGAGGGGGAGAUGGAAUUAGUGGUGUAGGGGUAAAAUCCGUAGAUAUCACUAGGAAUACCUAAAGCGAAGGCGAUCUCCUGGAACAUUACUGACGCUAAGGCGUGAAAGCGUGGGGAGCAAACAGGAUUAGAUACCCUAGUAGUC
rnacentral:rRNA from 1 species